rnacentral:rRNA from 1 species
AACGAACGCUGGCGGCAUGCCUAACACAUGCAAGUCGAACGAGACCUUCGGGUCUAGUGUCGCACGGGUGCGUAACGCGUGGGAACCGGCCCUUAGGUUCGGAAUAACUCUCCGAAAGGGGUGCUAAUACCGGAUAAUGUCUUCUGACGAAAGAUUUAUCGCCUUUGGUUGGGCCCGCGUUGGAUUAGGUAGUUGGUAGGGUAAAAGCCUACCAAGGCGACGAUCCGUAGCUGGUCUGAGAGGAUGAUCAGCCACACUGGGACUGAGACACGGCCCAGACUCCUACGGGAGGCAGCAGUGGGGAAUAUUGGACCAUGGGCGAAAGCCUGAUCCAGCAAUGCCGCGUGAGUGAUGAAGGCCUUAGGGUUGUAAAGCUCUUUUAACCGGGAUGAUAAUGACAGUACCGGGAGAAUAAGCUCCGGCUAACUACGUG